UUUAUCAAACCAUUGUGUUAACAAAGAUUGGAAGGAGGAUGAUGAAAAUGAAACACCUGAAAUUGUUGUGUUCAGAUAGUUUGACCGUGCAUUCGAUCUUUUAAAAGAAUCUGUCCAUAUGUACACCCUCCAAUUAGGUUCAACCACAUGUUAUCCUUCGUGCACAUGUUGAAGUGUCGAAGAAGUUGAGAAAAGCUAACAUUAGUGUUGGUUGAUCCUUAUCCACCAAUAAUGUGGCAGUC
rnacentral:lncRNA from 1 species